UCCGCCGAUCCGCUUCUGCGUGCGUAACGCCGGAUCGCUUUCCGCAAUACUGCUAUCGGCCAGCAUCGCCCUUAUUUUGACAGUCUCGGGCUGCAAAUUUUGUUUGCUGCUGUUCCUUCGCUUUUUUGUAGCUUCGCGUAAAUGUUUUCGGUGGAUGAGCUGAAGGAAUUUCUGGGUACGGGUAAUGAGUGGACCAGCGAUUUAACCUGCGUGCCGACGGUUUGCGAAGACACCAUCGAUGCCCACUUCGUCGCGUCCAAUCGGCAGCUCAACAAGGGAUGGAUAUUCAAGGAGGAGAAGUACAUCCGGCGGAUUGAAUGCUCCGUGCUUCGGGGGACCGACCUGCUAGUACUUAGGAGCAUAUGCCUUUGCUCCAUGAGGUCCGGGCACUACAAACAAGUCGUGGUUGUCAAGGUGGAUGUCUCAGCUGCUGUUGUACAGGCGCACUGCGACUGUGUUGCUGGGUUGAGCCAAAGAUGUCAGCAUGUAGCCGGCCUCCUUUUUGCAGUCCGGAGUAUCCAAUCUCCGUCGUGCACCGAUAUGCCAUGCAGAUGGAUAGCACCGACACAAGCCUCUCCUUAUGAUUUAUAUGACGGUGAGCAGCCCAGCGAAUGCCCUGGGAUCAUGGAAUGGCCAUGCUGGGGCUUUAAAGGCGAAAAUUAAGCGUGUGAUUAACUAUCAUAUGAAACUAACAGUGUUGCGACAAGUGUGAAGCUUAUGAAAUGAAGAAUCCUUUUAAAUCAUCAUUCACUGGGAUGCUUUCGCGGAAGCGUUGUGUACGUCGUACGGAAACACACAUUGAAACCUGACAUAUAAAGACCGCCUGAGCUCCAAGCUUCAUGAUACUGAGAAGCAAGUCACAAAGCACGCCUCCUCCAGGAGAGGCUCGUUGCGAAGAAACCCUGUGAUGUGUUUGUUAGUGAUGUAACUGUACCUUUUUGCAACGCUCGUGCAGCGAUUUCGAGAAAAGCAGUGACAUCAUAUCAUCACACCUAUAAAUAAGCUUGACGAAUACAGCAUUUCCG